UGAAAAAAUAUUUAAUAUUUUUUUUAUUUUGACCUCUCUAGUACAACUAAAUUCUAUAUGCUAUCUAUAACCAUCUUCAAAUUAAAAAUGUGCAGUGAAUGUAAUGAUAGUGUGGUGCACAGACUACAGACAUAGAAGGAAACAGUUUGAAUAAAUCUGUGAUUAUUGGGAGUAAGGAGUACAGAAGAAACUGCAAUGAUAAGGAAGAAUUUAGGCG